GUGUAAUAUAUAUCUUGUUACUAUUUUUUGUGAUCACUAUCAUGUAGUCUUAUUAUUUUCUGUAUAUUAAUCUUGUGUUCUCUAUGACAUUGUGUAAUUUUAACAUUAUUUAGGUGGAAGCUUCAAAUAAGCCCAGUGGCUUUUCUGCCUCUUCCUGCACUGUAUAUUAUUUGUUAUUUCUGUUAUGUUUGUGUAUUCUUAAAUUGUGCAAAAAUAAAUAAAUAUAACAAAAAAUAUAAAUAAAUAAAAAAUAAAUCAUUGCAUCUCUAUUCUGUGUGCAAGCUGUCAGACAUGGUGCAUUCAGGUACCUUCAUGCAUUCACAUCAUAAUCUAGCACAGACCUCUCAAUCUUUGCUGGGAAUGCAUAAAGAUGACACUGGAUGUUUAUGCUGACUUUGAA